rnacentral:hammerhead_ribozyme from 1 species
AUCCAGCUGACGAGUCCAAAAUAGAAUGAAACUCUUGUCCUGGAU